GGUUGUUUUUUUUUGUUCGUGCAUCAUAAGCAUCAUAUGCAUCUUAUCAUGUCACCUUUGUUUUAUAAAAGUUGCAUCAAAUCUUGUUCUUCUGUUCUUGUUGGCUUUCUCCCUCUCUCUUGCUUUUCUAAUCCAAGCCCCAACCUUAAAUCUUCUUAUCCUUCUCCCCUGUGAUGUUCCAAAACUAAAACCCUAUUUAUGGUUUUGCCAAAAUUCUUAUACAAGGGUUAUAUUAAACCUUCCUCUCUCACUCUCUUAUAUUUUUUCUGAAUCCUAUUUUUUGUACCAAAACCUUUGUAAUUUGGAAAGUUGUUUUGUUUGAAAACUUGCAGAUACUUCUAAGUUUUUGUUUACAAACUCCCUCCCUAUUUUCAGAUUCAAAGACAAAAAUAUAAAAGAAAUAAAAGAAACAGUUUUAUAUGAAAGAAAAAGGGGAAAACCUAUCCUAUCUUUUUCUACCCGGAGGCCACCACAGCCCAUGAAGCCCGGCCAGGCUGCUCCUCUGCUUUCCUUCUCCCAGUCUCCCAGCAAGUGAAUGAUGGCACGGAGGAAGCCCCUUCUCCACACGCUCCUCCCACCUGCUCCUCCCCUCCACCCCCUUCAAGCAAACCCUACCCUGCUCCUCCCCCUUGACGCCGCCGCCCCAUCUUCUAUCCCCUCCACAAAAGGCUUCAGGGAAAGACAUCGAGAGAAGUUCGGAAAAUUCAGAACUUUCAGCCACUGAGUUCGCCGGAGAUAGAUCGCCGCCGCGGACCUCGCCGCCGUCGCCCACUUUUUCUAUACCGACGGUCGUCACGCGCCUCUGCUUCCUCUUCAUCGUCUACGUCGUCCUCGAGCUCGAGCACCUCGACAUCUUCGUCUUGGCAUUUGCUUCUUCCCGGAUAGGAUCAUGAAGUGGUGUUGUGAGAUACGACAAGUUCUUCUGCAGCUUUUCACAGGCGAGCCCACCCCUUCACCUAUUUUACUUUUACAUGCUCUUUUGAUCUAUUGCUAUCCUUGUGUUGCGAUUCUGUUGUGUCACGUGUCCUAUCCACCUGUUACCUAUAUGUCCGAGAUACACCUCCUCGCCCUACCUAUUGUUUGUUGUUUGCCAGCUUUGCGAGUCGUAGGCGAGUUUAGGGUCUUGUUGAUAUCUCGAGAUGUUCGGGAUAUCUUGUUGGGAGGUUAUCACAUGCUAUAUCUUUUGUUGGAGAUAA